UUCUGCCACCGAAUACAUUAGCAUGGGAUAAUGGAAUAGGACCCUGUCCUCCUAUUUUCAGUUGGUUUUGGCAGCGCGAGGACUAGGGUAAUGAUUAAUAGGGAUAGUUGGGGGCAUUAAUAUUUAAUUGUCAGAGGUGAAAUUCUUGGAUUUAUGAAAGAUUAACUUCUGCGAAAGCAUCUGCCAAGGAUGUUUUCAUUAAUCAAGAACGAAAGUUAGGGGAUCGAAGACGAUCAGAUACCGUCGUAGUCUUAACCAUAAACGAUGCCGACCAGCGAUUAGGAGACGUUGAAUACAAAACACCACCAUCGGCGCGGUCGUCCUUGGCGUCGGUCUUUCGGGGCCGGCGCGGGGGCGGCUUAGCCCGGUGGCACCGGUGAAUGACUCCCCUAGC
rnacentral:rRNA from 1 species